rnacentral:rRNA from 1 species
GAGUUUGAUCAUGGCUCAGGAUGAACGCUGGCGGCGUGCCUAACACAUGCAAGUCGAGCGAACUCUUCGGAGUGAGCGGCGGACGGGUGAGUAACGCGUGGGUAACCUGCCCUGUACACAUGGAUAACAUACCGAAAGGUAUGCUAAUACAAGAUAAAAUAUAUUUAUCGCAUGAUAGAUAUAUCAAAGCGUUAGCGGUACAGGAUGGACCCGCGUCUGAUUAGCUAGUUGGUGGGUAACGCCUACCAAGGUGAUGAUACGUAGCCGAACUGAGAGGUUGAUCGGCCACAUUGGGACUGAGACACGG